GUCACGUCGCAGUUCAUCAUAUAGUACUCUCUUACGAACUCACUAUAUGAGUUAGGAAGUGACUGAAGAACCCAGUUAACAGCCAUCUCCUCACAGACAACGGAUCCCAACAUUCUUAACCUAUCAAUGUGUGACUUCAUCCCUAGGACGUGUACACACACCGACUUUCCUUGUUAAUAUUUACUUGCCAAAAGGGCUUGAGUGAGCUUGAACUUUUCAAGCCUUCGAACUUGUGGGUUAAGGAGAAUAAUUGAAGGAGGUGGAGGAAGAGAAGCAAGAUCUCUUGUUCCUCGAUCGAAUCAUGGAAUAUCAUGUUCAUGCGGAAUGCUUGUUCCACGGGAUUUGGGAAGACCAUAUUUGUCAUACUUUGACAUCUACAAAACGGGAGAAAACGAAUUCAAGUUAGUUGAUUGAUUGAAUCCUUAGUAAAUCACCCAAAUGAGAUACUAAGGCUAGGACCCAACACAAUAUUCUACAACUCGGGAGAGGGAUGCCGUAACCCUAAUUGCAGAAUAUUUGAAGGUAAGUGAAUGACGAUUCACUAAUUUCCACCAUGAAAAACGAAAAAGAAAUUUAAGUUUUAAAUCUAUGAAAACUCCUAGAUCCUUUGAGAUUCAUUGAACUUUCAAUGGCAUGUUUAAAUCUCCAUAUGCCCCACUAGUUUGUGACUGGGAUUCCGAGGAUCACAAAGCGGGUGUGGAUAACCAUGCAAACUUACAUGGUGCCCUCACAUGUUACAGUCACCUAUUCGAUGUGCUAGUAAACCACACACGCUCCACCGAACUAUGACAAACAUUGAGUCACCUUUUGCUACCUUUGCUUAGAAUCAUUUAGUGUGCCGGUUAACCACACACGCUCCACUAACGUCUUCGCAAGGGCACAAAGUGUAAUUUCAUUGAAUUGCAUCAAUUCACUUUUGCCUAAGUAACUAAGAUUGGAAAUUUGUAAAUCAUUUAGUUACUUUUGUACUUCAUUAUACUUAUAAUGGAAGGUUUUUUCAUAUCCUACCCGUUCGGCUAACGACCCUCCAUUAGUCAAGAGUGCGGUGGGUAAGAGUGGAUACCUAUUCAAUCGCCAUUUUAUAGGCAAUUUCCUUAAACACCCCUUAUAGACCAGCUUCGUGAAUGAGGCCUACUAACGGUAAGACUGACUUUUACUCAUACAUAUAUAUAAUGUUAGACUUUUAAUGUUAUAUAUAGUAUAGGGUGUAUUUUACACUUUUAAAAUACUAGGUGGUCAAAUUUAACAAUUAUACUUUUAAUUCAAUUAAAUUGUAAACCUAAACUUUUAUGGAUUUAUUAAACCUCUUUUAAUUAUACACCUUAAUUAAUUAAUAAAACCAUAAGGGUGUGAUUUGAACUUUUCAAAACAAUACUAGGGUUUUAGAAUUUAACAUUCCUAAUUAAACUUUUAAUCAACUUUUAAAUUCCAAAACUUAAGGGCAAGUUUUGAAACAUUUCAAAACAUUAGGGUUUAGAAUUUAAAUAUACAUCAAAAUUAAACUUUUAAUCAAAAUUUAAAUUCCAAAACUUGAGGGCAAGUUUUGAAACCUUUCAAAACACUAGGGGAUCAAAUAACAAAUAAUCUAAAUUAACAUUUAAUCACAUAAUUAUCCAUAUUUGAUUUAUUUAAUAAUUUCUUGCAAAACAAUUUACCAAUUUAAUCAAAAUAAUUAAUCAAUUAUCACAUAAGGAAAUAAAUAUUUUAUUAAUUGAUAAAUAUCUUCAAUUAGAUCAAGAAUAUACUCAUAUAUAUCAUAAAAUCGGAUUUAUAUUGAUCUAAUAUGAUAAAGGCAAGUAUCUCAAAGAUAAACAGCAAGAAAUCUCGAUAUUUGCUCUUUCUGACGCUUGGACUCGCCGAGUACCCGAAUGGACUCGCCAAGUCCACUAUGGGACUCGCCGAGUUCAUCAGGCAGUUUCACAAAAAUCGAAUUUUUUCAACUUGAACAAACAUACAAGGCAUCAAUACAAUAGAAACCAAUCAAGGCUCUGAUACCACUGAUGGGUUUUGGUCAUAAGAACAUCCUAUGUGCUCAUACAAACCCUAAUGCUUGGAUCUAGGUUUCUCUAUUGUACAUGCAAUUCAUCCAAGACUAUCAACCCUAGAUCUAGCAUAUGAUAAUCAAUAUAACAUAUAAAUAAGGGUUUAGAUCAUACCUUGAUUGUUAUGAAGCAAUAACAAUCUCAAAUCCUUCUUGUAUUGACUUUGGGGCAUAAGGGCUCUAUAUAUAGUGAGGCUAUUAGGGUUAUCUAACAAGGACACCCUAAUUUGGAUGCUUAAGCCCUAAGCAACCCAUGGACUCCUUUCCUUAAAGGCCUUGGACGAUUUCUAAUGGGUUUCCCCAUAGAAUUCGUCCGUCCUUAAUAUAAAGCAAUCCAUAGCCCAAUUGCAAUUAUCUUAAAAUUACAUAUCCAGUCCCUUAAGUUUAAUUAAUCUCUUUUAGUCAAAAACUUAAUUCUUAUUAAUUCUUAACUAAUAUUAAUUAAACAAUAUGAUUUCUCCUUUAAUAUAUUAUUCUCAUAAUAUAUUAAUAAAUCAUAUUUAAUCCUUUCUCUCCAUAAUUCAUCCUAUCAAGUUCCUUUGGUGAAGGCAACCCAAAAGGACCAUGCACCAUCGGGUCAAGUACAUACCAAAAUAGUUAUGGACUUAGACACUAAUCCAACAAAAACUUCAAAAAUGGUCCCUAUGGUUUUCAAAAAUUUGAAGUUUGGUCCCUAAUUUACAAAAGCCUCACGGAUCUUCCUUGUGGUUUCAAAACUUUUAACAUUUGGUCCUUUUGGCUCACUCCCUUAGCAUUUUACCGUUAACUCAUUUGUCAAUAUUAUAUUGCAGGGGCAAUUUCAUCAUUUUAGGUGUAACCUUAUCUUUUUAAUUUGAAAUGAUUACCUAUUGUUUGCACGUCAACUCACUACCUGUACCUCUCCCAGGAAGAUAACCAGUUACAUUUGUAAUCAUCGGGUUCAUUCCUAUCGUAGAAGCAAGAAUAUAAAUUGGGAUUUAGGGUUUAAGCAGAAGGAAUUGCAAUGGUGCUAUCAAUAUGGUGUUUUCAAGAAAAAUUUGCAACCGUGCCGGACUUGGGAAAAAGAUACGGUACGAUACUACAACAAAACUUGUUUUUUCCUGGUCGAUUGUGUUCACGUAGAGAAAUCAUUGGCUUUACUCUUUUUUUUGUGUUUUGCAGAAGGAUAUGACAACUAUUUCACGUUGAAGAUACAAUACAAUGGUGUCUUCACCAAAGCACCUGGAAGGAAAUACGUUGAUGGUGUUGUUGCAUAUGUAGAUGAUGUUGACACUGAUUUAUUUCUAGUUCAUGAGCUUGAUGACCUGGUCUGAGAACUAGGGUACAAAACUGAGCAAACCCUUUACUACCAUUUUUGUAUCCCUGAAUACCCUUUAGACUAUGUCUUAAUGCCUUUAGUUAAUAACUAAGAUGUACUUAAAAUGGUAUCUUAUGUCCCUAAACACAGACUUAUAAGGGUGUAUAUUGAAAAUGGUUAGACAAGGGUAGCUAGUUAUUGCAAGUCUCCUUCUAAAGUUUUUAUUGAAGAGUUAGAGCCUGAUAGUGUGUCACCUGAAAUGAAUAGAAAGAAGCCUUGGAGGAGAGAAGCAGGAUCAUGUAGUAGAAAGCUUGAUUUAAACAAGUCUGUGAACCCUGAUUAUGAGCAGUCAUAAGUAUUAGAUGUUGAUCAAGGGCAUGAUUAGUCCAAGAGUAUUCUGUCAUAUAUUAGGUCACAAGCUAGCAAACAAAGUCAUGUCAUUCAAGAGGAAGUGGUCAAUCAUGAAAUUGAAACUCAAGAAGAAGUGAUAACUAGUGCAGUUAAAACUGAAGAACCAGUGGGAAUUUACCAUGUAGAGGAACGAAGUUGCCAAGCUGAUGAUGGAGGUAAUACUGCAACAGUUGAUGACUUUGAACCAUUUGUAGAGGAUUGUUCACUUUAUGCUGAUUAUGAUGUUGAGUUUAAUGUUCAAACUUCAUGUGAACAGCAACCAAAAGUGGAUUAUCUAGAGGGUAUGGUGAGUGAUGAUAUUGGAGAGGCUUUUUAUUAUGAGAGUGGACAUGGUUCUGAGGGUAGUGGAGAUGAUUCUGAUGAUAGUGAAUACAAUGUAGAUGAGUCUAACAUAGAAUUUGACGUAGAUGUAGACAUGAGUAAAUUCCAUAAUUCUGUUGAUGUAGAUGAACAUUGAAUCUUAAACAAUCAUUCAAAAGAUGAAGGGAAUGACAUGGUUGAUAAUGAGUUGGAUGUUAUUACGACUGAUGAUUAUCAAUUUGUGGGAUUUCAUGAAGAUGAUAGGAAGAGACUGUCAAAAGAGUUGAGUAAGUCAAGCAGAUGCUCGCAUGGAGAGGUUCAUGUAAAACCAUUUCAUAUUGGCCAGGUCUUCAAAACCAUGCGUGAUGUUAAAAACUACAUGAACUCACAUGCUAUAGAAACAAGGUCUUUAUACCUAGCAAAACAUGAGAAAAUCAGGAUUAGGGUGAAAUGUAAUGGUGUUGUAAGUAAGCCAUCUAAAGAAGUUGAUUGUGGUGGGCCUUAACUAUAAGUAGGGCAAAGUGCAAGGGUAAAGAUGUAAUUGCCAAUAAAGGUACAUGUCCAUGGGCAGUCCAAAUAUCGAGGGCUAAUGAAAAUCAGAAUUGGCUGGUGAAAACUUUACAAGAUGAGCAUAAAUGUUUGCAAACAAGGGCGGUUAAAGCUUGCACUUCUAGAUACGUUGUAAACUGAAUUGUUUAAUAAAUCCAGAGAAACCCUAGAAUUCCAGUGAAAGCUUUACACAAAGAUUUGUGCAAGAAACUAGAGCUAGGAAUGCCAUUGCAAAAGGUUGCUAGGGCAAAGACAAUGGAUGAACGUAUCAUUAGUGGGGACUACCAAGUACAAUAUGGAUUUUUGAGGGAUUAUGUGUUGGAGCUACUAAACAUUAAUCCGGGUAAAACAGUUCGGAUUGAUGCGUAUCCAGAAACCUCCCUGUCUAUUAGCACAAGAACUUUUAGAAGAAUAUAUGUUUAUCUGGGCGCAUUGAAGUUGGGAUUUAAAGCUCGGUUAAGAGAUUUUCUAGGUGCAGAUGGUACUUUCAUGAAAGGCCCUUACCCUGGGCAAGUGUUAACGGCUGUAGGGUUGAACUCAAACAAUGGCAUAUACCCUGUAGCAUAUGCAGUGAUAGAGAUAGAAUCAACAAGUAGUUGGACCUGGUUCUUGGAACUGUUAGGAGAAGUUUUGGAUCUGGGAGCAAAUCCAAAUUUUACAUUCAUUUCUGAUAGACAAAAGGUAUGUGUCACCUAACUUUUUUUCUUAGUACUAUUGCUAGAUACAUUUGGGUAACUGAUGUUGCAUACAUUGACUUAUGUUUAGGGAAUAAUACCAACAAUUGAGAAGGUAUUCCCCAGUGCAGAACUUAGGUUCUGUUUGAGGCAUAUCUAGGAAAAUAUGAAGAAACAGUGGAAAGGAAAAGACUCAAAUGACUAACUUUGGGAGUGUGGUAGAGCAACAACAGUCAAUCACUUUAACAAUGGAUGAGUUGAAGAAGAUCAAUGAAGAGGCUCAUGCUUGGGUGUGUAAGAUCCCAACAAACACUUGGUCUAAAUAUCACUUUAGUGGUAUCUUUGUAGAAAUUUAUUGAUAAAUGUUUAUCUUUCCUAUUGUGUGUUUACUAUAUGUGUAAUUGUCUUCUCUUAAUAUCUAUUAUUCAGGUAGGGCACACACUGAUGGUUUGUUGAAUAACCUUUGUGAGGUAUUCAAUUCUAAGCUAGAUGAAUGUAAGGAUAAACCUAUUAUCACUUUCUUAGAGUAUAUUAGAGAGUAUCUCAUGAAGAGGUUAUGUGUAGUGCAAAAGGAAAUAGAUAAGUGUGAAGGACUUCUAACACCUAUUGCGACUAUAGUGUUUGAAAAGAUUAAGACUGAUGCAGCUAAGUAUGUGGCUAAAUACAAUAGGACAGGAAAGUACCAAGUGGAAAGAACAUGACAAUAUCAGUAUGUGGUAAAAUUGAAUGACCAAAGUUGCAGUUGUAGGUUUUAGGAGAUUACAUGUUUCCCAUGUAGACAUGGUGUUUGUGUUAUAUGGGACAAAAUUGAAAAUGGUGAAAAUGCCUCACAUGUUGAUGAAUGGGUCCAUCCUUGCUAUAGUUUAUCAACAUGGUAAGCCAUGCAUUUCAACAAAAUUGAUCCAUUGAAUGGAUGUUCAAUGUGCCCUAAAAGUGACUGCCCAUUCACUUUACUUCCACCAAAUCAUAAAACACGGGUUUGUAUUUCAAGUAGACCAAAUAUAUAGUAUACAUGUGAACAUGGAAUGAAUUCCAUUUUAACUAUAGUACAUAAAUAUGUGUAGGUUGGGAGGCCUAAGAAGAAGAGAAGGAGGGGUGUUGAUGAGCCUAACAGCCAAGCUGGUAAAUUGAGCAGGAAAUAUCUGGCAGUCACUUGUUCAAGGUGUCAUAACAAAGGGCACAAUUCUAGAACAUGUAAAGGAUAGGGAGGCAGUGGUGAAGUUGGAGGGGGCUAAAAACUAUGUUUAGUAGUUAUUAGGAUGCUUGUAGCUCUUUUGAAACAGAAGUCAUGUGUACUUGUUUGAAGAUGUAAUGGUUGUAUGUUUAGUAGUGUCAUCUUUAUUUGUUUUGAAACUUAGUAUGAUGGCUGUGUUAAGAACUUUAAAACUUUGCAUGUAAUAGUGUCUAUGCACAUUUUAGUAAUGAAUUAAUCUUUUUUGUGUACUACCCUUCAGAGAUCAAUUUAUAACAUUGUACAUUUCAAUUGCAAAUCAAAACCAUCUUAAAGAUGCAUUUACAAUACAGUUAACAAUUGUAUUUAAAAAACAUUCAAGAAAUUCAACAAUCAACUAUAACAAACUACAUUCCAUUACCAUUAGCAUUACCACUCCAUUACACAUUAAUCUAAUACAUAAACCAAAUACAACAACACCAACUCCAAACCCCCUACAUAAACUGAAAGCAAAAAAACCCCUAUUCGAUUACAAUCAAAAAAACCCUUGCAACGGUUACAAACCAAAAAACAAAACUCCAUUACCAUCCAAACUUUCACCAUAUACUCAGAGAUUAAAAUAAAACCAAAAAAAGAACACCCAUGAACAAAACAACAUCAACCGGUAGUUACAUAAUUCUGCACUUACAAUGGCAACCAUCUCUUCCAAUCGGUUCAUUGAUCUUAUCAAACAUGGAAUCACCACCAAUUCCUUAACACACAUAGAAGGAUCAGACCAUCGAAGGAACCUACCUCUUGUACAGUUCCAAAAUUGUCUUCUAGAGUUACGAUCCGUCCAUGAAGUGAUCUUCAUUGCUUCAUUCCAACAUCUGCCAGUCACCAUCUUUGAAUCAGAAGCGAUUGUAUGUCAUAAAGGGUGCAAGGGUCGAGCAACAGUGGAAAUGAGUAGAGAGAUCACGAUUGCAGAAAGGUAAAGGGUUUGUCCAAAAAUAGGACACAUAAUAUCUUUUACAGAUAGAAGGUUAAAAUUGAAAUGAAGAAAUUGCCCCUCCAAUAUAAUAUUGAAAAAUGAGUUAACAGUAAAAUGCUAACGGAGUGAGUCGAAAGGACCAAACGUUAAGAGUUUCGAAACCACAGGGACGAUCUGUGAGGUUUUCGUAAAUUAGGGACCAAACUUCAGAUUUUCGGAAACCACAUGGACCAUUUUUGAAGUUUUGUCAGAUAUAUAUAUAUAUACAUAUAUAUAUAUAUAUAUAUAUAUUGUUGGGUUUUAGUUCAAAAAUAGUUUCAUAAAAUAGAAAAAUAUAGCAACGGAAGACUUCAAUUUUGAAAUAACAUAAAUAUUUUAUACCCAUCAAGGAUCUUUUUGCAAGUUAUAGAAACAUUAAAACACUAACCAAAGAAGAGGUGAAGAAAUAACAACCAUUGUAGUUCUUUGGGUCCUAUUGGGAAGCUUGGAAGUUGAUGAAGAAUGUGGAACCUUUGAGACACCAACAAUGACUCAACUUGAUGUAGAUGUUCGUCCAAAACUCUUGAACCUUUAAGCUUUAAGUUCAUAACCAAUAUGAACUUAAAGAAGGAUUGAAGAUGCAACUAACUUCAAGUGUUCUUAACUAAUUAAGAGAGAAUGAGAGGGAGAGGAGGAACUUUCGGCCAUUGUUAUAAAGGAAGAAGGAUUAUCACUAGCCAAAGUGCAAGCCUCAUAUUUAUAUGCAAAUAGUGAAGGUAUUAACCAUUAGUCAUUAGCAUUUUAAGCAAACUUGUUCGCAUUGUCAUAAGCAUGUCUCACACCUUUAAAGCAUGAUUAAACAAGUCAUGCACUUCUUCUUUUUAUGCAAAUCUCAAAAAUUGCAUAAAGCAGAGGAAAUUUAGUUUAAAUUUUAUAAACUCAAGGUUUAUAAAAUAUAAAAUUUGUAUUUUGAGUAAAAGACAAAAGGUUUCAACUAGUCCAAAAAGUGAUGCAUGACUUAUUAAUUCAUACCAUAUGAAAUAAUACCAUGUUACUUGCUAAUGAAAAUUAUUAUUUCCACGAAACAACUAAUUUCUAAUUUAAUUAUAAGAAUUUUAUUGAGUAUUUAUUAAAAUCAAUUUCUAAUAAAUAAUCAAUUGUAUCAAGUUGUUGUUAGUAUGACCCAUUAAUAUCAUAUGUUAUUUAGCAAUAUCACUUUAAGAUGACCCUUGAGCGUACUAGAUCUUUCAAUCUCCCACUUGCGUAAGACUCAUAUUAGACUGAUAUAAAAAAUGUGGUGAACUGCUAGCAUUGUUUCAUUUCCCCUAAGACCAUACGACUGUUUGUGCCAUUCUAUCAACGCCCAAUUACCAAAAAGCUCAAAGCUACAAUUGGUGUAUAAGGUAAGUUUAUUAGUUAUCCCUUUGCUACAGACAUCAUGUUGAACAUGAGAUUCGGAUUGCGAUCAAUCUCAUUAGUUGUUCAACUUUUGGUAUGGUGCCUUUGAUGUCUAACUCUCAACACAUAUGAGGAACAUAUUUCUUCUUGACUACAUAAGCCUCUUGUAUAGUUCACACCAUACCUAAAAAUGGAUUUUAUAACUGCCCGGUUAAGGAACAACUUUUGACCAUUAUCAAAGCAUAGUACUCCCUAUACUUAAGUCCCACUAUGUAUCUCAGGUGUUAAGGAUACAAAGAUAAUACCUUUUAAUCAAGUAUCAUUCAUGAUAGUAAUCCAUGAGAUGAUUUUGAUGCGGGUCAGAUGACAAAUACCUAUGAAACUUGGUUACAACCACUUGCCUACUUUCAUCUUGUGAGAGUCAACCAAUCUAAUUCAUAUUAGUCUUACUUCAUAAUUGCUCCCACAAUUAUAACCGACUAUGAACUUUUAGAAUAAUAACAUUAUUCAUGGAUUAAACAUGGUAAUAUAGAACAAAAAAGUAUUAAUGUGAUGACUAUAUCCUGAUAUAUCAUAACAUUAUCUAAUAGUUGUUAUAAUGGUCCAAUAUCCGAAUACUAAAUCCAAAUCAAAAACCCAUUUCUAGAGUAAUAAAGUCUUAUAGCUGAUGUAUGACCAUUCAUACUUAGCUCAAAAGAAUGACUUUAUUAAUGGAUCUGACAAAAUUUUAAUUUGUGUGAAUUCGGUGAAUAUUAUCAUCUCCAAACUUAACUUUACUCUAGGUAUUGUUAAAUAUCUUGGAGAAUAUGAUUGGUGUUCUUUUGUGACAUAGUGUCUCUUAGCUUGAUUAAGUAUACUCUCGAAGUCACCAAGAUUUCUAUGUGAUUCUUGAAUGGCAGAAAUCAACAUAGUUUUUCAAUGACGCCAUUCAUCCAAUCAUAUUUUAAUUCAACUUCUAAAGUAGUGUAUUCUUAUUUUGUAGUAGAUUAUGUCAUUAUGUUUUUCUUGGACCUCAUUCCAACAAAACUUACCCUUCAUUCCAUAAUGAAGUCAAAAUCCAAUUAUAAUUCAUAAUUAUUUAUAUCUGUUUAGAAAUUAACAUCUUAUGUAGCUCUUUCCAUAAAGAUCAUUUCUAAACUGAUUGUCUCAUAUACAUUCCUUUAGUUCUUCUAAAGUAUUCUUAGAAUGCUCUCUUAGUCAUCCAUUGACUUAACCAUGUAUUCAAUUAGUAUCCUAUGACAUGCUUACAACAUGAUCAAAUACCAUGUGCUAUGCAUAAUACGUCGUAAAUGAUGAAUUCAUUUGCCAAGCAAAUAAAAUAUUAAUAAUUUCAUCUAGUUCAAGCCUAUGUGCUAUGAAAUUUUGAGGCUAGCUUGUAACAUUCGGGAUUUGUAGGAAUUAAUAUUAUUUAUUUUAUUGAAUAAUGGGUUGUUGUUGGUUUGGGCCUGGAUAGUUGGACCUUAAGUUUUGGGCUGAGAAAGGCAGUAUGCGGCGUGUACCAUGCCUGGAACACCCAACAUACUCAAGAGGUUGGGGCGGGGAGGCCAUGCACGUAAGCUCAGCGUACCAAAGGGUACACGCAACGUACGCAUGCAGGUUCUAAAACUCUAACUUUUAGGUUUUGAUCCAUAUAUAAAGGAUCUUAUGCCUUUGGUCCAGCCUCCCUCUCACCUCUAUACAACCUCCACGAAAACCCUAACCCCCUCUUGUGUGUCUUUGUGAUUUGGAAGCUACUUGAGAGGAUUUUGGUGUAAUUUUGGUGCUUUGGAAGAGAAAGGAGCUUGAAGAAGGAGCAAGGAUCCACCAAGAGCUUGUAGAUCCAGGAGAUUGGAAACAUUUCUGACUCUUUUGAGGUAUCAAGUUCUAAACUUGGCCAUUGUAUGCCUAGAUUUGUUCAUGGGGGUGUUUAAGGUCACUUUUGGACUCCAUUGUUGAGGCUUCUUGCAUCUUAAUAAUUUCAGACCAUAAGAGCUGUCCUUUUGGGCUCUUAGAGGUACUAGGAGUCAUAAAAAAUGGAUUUUGAUGGUUAAGCCACAACCAUGCAAUUGUUAGUUGGUCUUAAAGCUUGUUAAAGGGACGAAAAUCAUGUUUUGACCCCAACCAUGCAUGCAAGCACAUAAAGUUUGUGACUUUAUGGUUUAGGAGGUCUUAAAGGACCUGGAUCUACAUUUUGGACGUAAUGACUUAGUGGAUUAAGUCACAAAUGAUGUCCCUAGGAAGCUAGCCAGUACAUUAAGCGUACACCCUGGUACAUUGCGUGUACUGGGUCAACUCCCCGUUUUGGUUAAGUCCAGCAUACGCUGGGCGUACGUGCCAGGUACGCCGCGCGUAUGCAUGUAGAGUAGCUAUAUUGGGAUUUUUGGGCCUGGACUAUUGGGCCCCGUGGCCCACUGUGGAGUAUAAUUCUGGGCCUGGGGAUUUGGAAUUAGAAGUAUUGGGACUUUUGGGUCAUAUUGGGCCACUCGAGAUUAUUCAUUUUGGGAUAAGGACUAUUAGACUUGUGAAAAGGCCCAUUUGAUGAGUUGCGCCCAAUUUAGAAAAUUGGGCCAUUAAUGGGCCUUUCGGGAGCCUUUGAUGGGCCAUGGGUGCAUUGCAUUUCAUAAGUUAGCAUUAGGCUUUAUGAAUGGUUCAAUUUAGUCUGGGGGGGUGGGGGAGGAGGGGGGUUAAAAUGGUCAUUUUACCCUAAGUGGUGUUAUAUAUAUUCUGGUUGAGUGUCAUUACGAUUAUGAUAGCCGCGAAUCAUCGGAGCAGCUGUUAAAGAUAACUUUCUGUGAGAUUCGGGACUCAGCUUCAUGAGGUGAGUUACCUUCCAGUAGAAGUGGGUCUAAGUCCACAAUGCCAACCCACUAGUAGGAGUGAUUAUGGAUAAUUGUCUUUGUGAUAAUUAUCUGGUUUGCAUUGUCUGAUAUGUUAUGUGAUAGCCUGAUAUGAUGGUAUGUGAUAGUGGUAGUAGGGGAAUAGUCCCCAUAUCUGGUCGAUAGGGCCAAAUGGGUAGGUUAGCUACCCCGAUAUGUCUGACAGUAUGAUUAUGUUAUGUUUUAUGUGGUAGUAAUAGGGGUAAAAUAGUCCCCGUAAUCGGUUUGGAUAAAUCGGAGGGGUAGGUCAAACACCCCGAUAUGUCUGACAGGGAUAGGUUAGGGACCCUGGUAUGCCUAGCAGGGGUAGGUUGAGCACCCCGUUAUGCAUAACAGGGUAGGUCGGGCACCCAGGUAUGCCUGGUAGUAUGUGUUAUGUAUGGUAUAUGUUAUGAUGGCGGAACUCACUAAGCUUUGUUCUUAUGAUUUUCAGUUUUGAUUUCAGGUACCUCUUCGUCAAAGGGAAGGAGAUGGCACGGUAGCAUUGUAUCACACACACCUGAUUUCCUCAUUUUGAGAUCCAUGGGAUUGUACUAUGAUAUUAUUACUAUUUUUUAUCUGACUUUUGAGACAUGUGAUUAUGGUUUUAUGGAUUUAUAUGAUAUUGAAGAUGUUUUUUAGUAAAUGGUUUUUCUAAUUAACUUAAUUAAAAACAAAAUUUUUGGACUUGAAAAGUGGGAUGUUACAAGUUGGUAUCAGAGCUUUGGUUUGAGGGAUUCAGGCGCACUCUCGAGUGUGUCAGGACUCAAACUAAGGACUUGGUAUAAAAAUUUUCAAAAGUAAAAUCUUUUAAAAAGGAGUAUGGAAAGAAAUUGAAAAGAGAAAAGAACUUUGAAAAGAACAAGGUGUGUGAUGCGUGCGACCGGCCGAGCUCAAGUAUGUUUUCCCCAAGAUACCCAUACAUUAUGUUAUGUUAUGAUAUGAUAAUGAGAACUGCAUCCUAGAUUAGGGCUAAGGAUCUAGGAAGGAUGCCUUUUAUGCCUCUUGUCUGUGUAUGUGAACUGCAUGCUAGAAUAGGGCUAAGGAUCUAGGAGGAUGCCUGAUAGGCUUGAUGUAUGUAAUUAUUGAGCUACAUGAUAGUACUGAGUAGUCAGUGAUAUGAUAGCCUGGAUAGGAUAUGUUGGUUUGGGAUACUCUAUGCUCGAAUUCUACUUGCUUUGUGAUUUUUAGGAGUUCUAGUUAUCUUCAAUUAACUAGUAGACGAAUACGUUAAGUUACAUACUAUAAGGACGGACUAAUUUCAAAAGGUUAGGUCUAGCCCUAUUUUGCAGCUCUUGUUUGAGUCCAACCGUUGUAGGGCAGGACCUCUCAUUCGAAGAAUUAUCUAGUCUUAGUAAUAUGUAAUGGUAUUCGCAAGCUAGUUUAGGAUAGAUGACAUGGACAUCUUAUGCAGCUGAUGGUGGAGAGUGGGUUGGAGAGUUACACCAGGGUAAGCCUAGGAUGAGAUUAGUGCAGUGAGCAAUAAUAGUAUAAGGGACUUGGUGAAGUCAAAGCAAUCCUUGAGGAAAGUACGGAUACAUGCGGAAGAUAGUAUGGGCUCGUACUACUGAAAGCAGAGGAUCUGUUCUCGAGUAAAUGAGGGUCGAGAUAGAACCAGGGAACUUGUAGUAAGUGAGGCUUUCUGAGGUUAUCUAUAACCCUGACGAUUAUGUGUUUUCUUUCAAAAUGGUGAUGAUUACGCAUCACAGAGCAGGAGGAUCGGGAUCAGGAUCCGGUUCGGGAUUAGGUGCUGAGCCAGUUGAUGAAGGACUAUGUGAGUUCAUUGCUUCUGAGAUCACUAGAGGCAUCCUUGAGUUGACCCCGGUGAUUUUCGGGUCGAUCAAGGAAGGGAUUCUGGAGCUGAUGGAGGAUCGCCUCAGGGCGUUUAGGAGUGACAUGGCAUCCAGCCAGUUAGGAUCACACACACUGUCCUUCAAGGACUUUAGGGGUUAUGGUGCACCAGACUUCCACGGGGUGAAGGACGCCGUCAUUUCCAGGAGAUGGAUUGUAGAGAUGGAGUCUGCCCAGUUGACUAGCUUUUGCCCUGAGGGGUCGAAGGUUCGAUAUGUUGUAGGGUGUUUGAGAGAACGAGCUCGAAAUUGGUGGGAGGCGGUCAGUGAUUCGUUAGGAGCCCAAGCCAUUGAGGCUAUGACUUGGUCUGACUUUGUGACCAUGUUUAGGGCUGAGUUUGCGCCAACUGUGGAGCUCCGGCAGUUGGCCAGAGAGUUCUUGGAUAUGAGGCAGACGACUGAGUUGGUGGCGGAGAUUACCGUCAAGUUUAGGGAGAGGUCCUUACUAGUGCCUCAGUAUGCAGGGGAUGAGGAGAUACGGAGGACCCGCUAUCAUGACAUGUUGAGGGCUGACAUCCGGAAACAUGUCAGCUACUCAGCAUGUCCGACAUUAGAUGAUAUGAUUGCGAAGGAGAGGGAGAGGGAGAUUGACGUAAAGCACCUCCGGAAGAGGAAGGUAGCAGAGGGACAUGUUACUAUGGUUUCAGGGAAAACCCCAAGGGAUUCGACGCUAGGUCGAAGGCCUAUCAGGGACGGAGCCGCUGCGGGAAAUGCAGCAAGCCACACGAGGGGGCGUGUAGACUAGGGUCAUCGGGCUGCUAUAAGUGCGGAAGGACGAUGCACUUUGGCAAGGACUGUACUGCCACUAACCCCACUAUUCAGACAGUCAAAGUUGCUGUGUUUCCACUGCAACCAACGAGGCCCUAAAGGGCCAAUUACCCGAGAUUGACAAUAGUAGUAGUUGCGCCCGUGGUGGCGCCAACUCCAACGACCGUGCGGUUUACUGAUGGCUGGCAGGGUAAGACAGAGGCUCUAGUUGUGAGGAGCUGAGCCUUCUAGGUGACUACCGAGGAGGCACGCGCCACACCCAAUGUGGUGAUGGGCAUGAUUUCUUCUCCCUAGCUCUUAUUUUUAUGUCGCUUAUGAUAUUUAUGUAUAUGUUUUAUGUGUUAUUUAGGAUCGUUCCAUGUGAAUGGUAUUCCAGUUCAGGUGUUGUUCAAUUCGGGGGCUAACCGGUCGUUUGUCUCUCUUGCCCUUAGCAAGAGGUUCCCUGAGUCUUCGGGCAUGUUGGAUUGUCCUCUAGUGGUCGAGAUUAUGGAUGACCGAUCAGUUCAGACAUCAGAGGUUUUUCGAGAUUGUGUUUUGAGACUGUUCGAGGAGCGUUACAUGGUAGACUUGGUUCCCAUACCAUUGCAUGGGAACAAAGUCAUCAUCGGUAUGGACUGGCUGAGCCCUAAUGGGGUAGUGAUUGACUGCACGCAACAGUUGGUUCAGGAUAGGACCCCAAGUGGGGGAGAGUUGGUGAUUCAGGGCGAGAUGCCACAAUGUGGGCCAACUUUAUGCUCAACAGCGAGGGCUAGGCGCUACCUUCAGCAGGGUUGCACCGGAUAUGUUGCCUAUCUCAUGGAUACCCGAGAGGAGGGUAAGGCGACUGUGAGUGAUGUACAGUGGUGCAAGAGUACCCGGACGUAUUUCUAGAGGAUUUUCCAGGGAUACUGUAAUGCCCCAUUUUCUGGUAUAUAAUUUAAAUAAGUAUUUUCAAUUCUUAAGGGGCACUCGACGACUCUACAGACCGGCUCGUCGAGUAGAGACGGGAUGAUCAUGCAAUUUGAGUUGGCUACUCGAGGAGUCCAUAUGCUGGGAAUCGACGAGUCCUCCUGUCUGGAUGAAGCCCUAAUUUUAAGGGUUUGCACCCUAUUUAAACACAUUUAUGCGGCCCAACCUCGCCUCCAUCACCCUCAGAACAUUUCUUAUCAAACCCUAGCCUCCUAAAGAGUGUGUGAGUGAUUGUUUCCUUGUGAAGGAACUUUUGGUCCAUUUUGGAGCUAGUGGAAGAAGGAGAAGGUUGAAGAGUUCAAGGAAGAAGAAGUAGAUCCGGAACACACUCCUUUGUGGUCAUCUUUUCUGGUAAUAAAGUCUCCAUCUUGCUUAUUGAUCUAAUAGAUCUAGUUUUUCCCCAAAUUGUUGAUAUUAAGCUCAAAAACCCCCAAAUCCUUUGUAAUAAAGCCUUAUGAUCGAGUUAUACUUCAGAUCUAGCCUCUCUUGAACUCCAAGAGCUCAUUAUAGCCACCUUUAUGCAAUCUUGGACUUGUUCCAAACCCUAAGUGCUUAGUAUUUGAUGAUUUUGGGUAUUUUAGCCUCAUAACCUUGUGCAUGCAUGUAAUGUUGGAAACUUUACGUGUAAAGCCAAUCCUAGAAGCUUAGAUAUUUGUUUUGGAAGCAUAGAAAUCGAUUAUAAUCGACUGUAAAGUAAUAGCAUGCCUGGGACUCGACGAGUUGUUCUUAAACUCGGCGAGUUGUUCUUCAGACUCGACGAGCUGUUCAUACGACUCGGCGAGUCACAGUCUGGACGUGUUCAUAUGUUGAAGGAGAACUCGACACGUUGUUCAUACAACUCGGUGAUUCGGAUGAAGUUAGACUCGAUGUUAGAAUCGAGGAAGAACUCGUCGAGUCUUUGCCAAACUCGAUGAGUAGAAGCGGGUAUAGGACUAGAAUGGAUGAUAGGGACUCGGCGAGUUGACGGCCCAACUCGGCGAGUCCGGUCAACAGGAUGUUGAAUUUGACCAGGAAGUUGACUUUGACUUGCCUAGGGGUAAAUAGUCAUUUUACCCUGAGAUUAGUUAUCAGUAUUUGAUUUAGUGUUUAUGGGAUUUGUAGCCGGGGAGUUCCGCAGCAGCGGUCAGGCAAUUUCAGAUUUAGCAUCUCUGUAGCCAACGUUACGAGGUGAGUUUCCUUCUAGUAGGAACGGGUCUACGGCCACAAUGCCGACCCAUCUAGCUAGCAGUAGUUCCGGAAUUUGGUCCGAUGCAGUAGUUCAGUGUGCUUUAUGUCUUUGUGAUUCAAGCAUGUCUUUGUGUUAUGUGUUUCGGACUUUGGUCUGAUGCAGUAUGCAGUAUAUGUGCUUAUGCUAGUUGAUAUGUUUAUGUUAUGUUAUGCUCAGUCAGUUUCCGGACUUCGGUCAGAUGCAGGGGACACGGUCCCGAUUAGUUCUGGAUUUCGGUCCGAUGCAGUUAGUUUCGGACUUCGGUCCGAUGCAGUGGGCAAGGCCCAAUAGUUGUUUAUGUGUUAUUGUAUGGUAUGUAGUAGUUUGGGGGAGCUCACUAAGCUUCAUACUUACAGUUUCAGUUUUCGUUUCAGGUACUUCCGUUAGCAAAGGGAAGAGCUCGGGUUGAUGGCAUCGCACCCACCACAGCUUCAGUUUUAUCCUGGGAGUUUUAUUCAUACAUUUUGUUAUGAUUGAUACAGUUUUGUUUUGACACAGUUACUAUGACUUUUGAGUACUCAUUCCAUGGUUCUUGUUAUAUAUAUAUAAUUGNUUUCACUUUUAGUUAUAUUAAAACAAAAAAAUUUUGGGUCGUAUUUUUGGGUUGUUUCAAGUUGGUAUCAGAGCCUUGGUUUAAGGGAUUCAGGAAUACUUCCGAGUACGUCUGAACUCAAACUAAGGAAAUGGUGAAAGAUUUUUAAAAGAGAAACGUUUUCGAAAAGAAAUUUUGAAAAGAACUUAGAAAGAAAAAGAGUUUUCUUAAAAAGGGGUGUGGUGCAUGCGAUCAGCCGAGCUCAAGUAAGUACUCCCAAAUUACCCAUACAAGCUUAUGUUGUGAUUAUCAGUUUCAGUUUCAUUAGAACAACAUGCUAGAAUAGGACUAAGGAUCUAGGAGGAUGCCUUAUGUGCAUGCUAUAUGUAUUUCAGCUUUAUGAGAAUUGCAUGCUAGUAUUGAGUAGACAGUAGUACGAUAGUCUGGUUAGGUUAUGCCUGAUAGUAUGAGCUUAACAUUGUAUGCCAGUGCAGAUUAGUCAGAAUGAAAACCAGUGUGGUAUAUGCAUGAUUAUGUACUCAAUGCCCGAAUGUUGCUUGCUUUGUGCUUUUAGGAGUUCUAGAUGUCUUUCACUAGCUAGUAAACGAAUAUGUUAAGUUACAUAUUGCAAGGACUAAAUAAUUUCAGAAGGUUAGGUCUAGCUCUAUUUCGUAACUCUUGUUUGAGUCCAACCGUUAUAGGGUACGAUCCCUCAUUCGAAGAAUUAUCUAGUCUGAGCUAGUUAGGGAAAGAAAGUUGGGACUUCUUAUGCAGCUGAUGGCAGAGAGUUGGUUGGUGACCACCCUACGGCUAGCCUAGGAUGAGAUUAGCAUGAGAUCAAUGGUAGUAGUAGAAGGGACUUGGUGGAGUCGAGGCAGUUCUUGGGGAGGGUACAGAUAGAUGUGGAAGGUAGUAGGGGCCUAUACUCCUGAAAGUAGAGGAGCUAUACUUGAAUCAAGGAAGGCCAAGACGAGACCAGGAAACUUGUAGUAAUAGUGAUGCCUCGAGAUAUAUCAAUAUUUAUGACGUUCUCAUUAUGUGUUUCAGAAUGGUGGUUUUACGCCCUAGACCAGCAGUCGACAGUUCAGGUGCAGGUGAGGGAUCAAGACCAGGCUUGGGAGCCGAGCAUUUGGAUGAUCAGACUAGGGAGUUUCUCUCUUCAGAGAUUACUCGCAACAUACUCGAGCAAACUCCUAUAAUCUUUGGUUCGAUAAAGGAGGGUAUUUUGGAGCUGAUGGAUGAGAGGUUGAGCGCCUUUCGUACUGAGGUAGCGACCAUGAUGGGGUCGCGCAUCCUCACCUUUAGGGAGUUCAGAGCAUGUGGAGCUCCUGACUAUCAUGGGGCUCGGGACCCCAUAGCGAGUACCAGGUGGUUGGCAGAUGUCGCCAAUGCUUUCUGCACCAGCAGAUGUCCCGAGGGGGACAAGGUCAGACUAGCAUCCUGUCUUUUGAAGGACAGGGUACGAGAUUGGUGGGACGAGAGCGGGCAUGUCAUCGGGAUGACACAGCACUUGUUGCGAUGACUUGGGUUGAUUUUACUACCAGGUUCAGAGCCGAGUUUGCACCGGUUAUUGAGGUGCAACAGUUAGACAGGGAGUUUCAGGAUCUUACCCAGAGUACAGAGAUAGCGGUGGAGAUUACCGCCAAGUUUAGGGAGAGAGCUCUUCUUGUUCCUCAGUAUGCAGCUGAAGAGGAAAUGAAGAAAGCUCAUUACCUGAGAUGUUGCGGAGUGAUAUCUGCCAGUUUGUGAGCCGGUCCAGCUGUAAAACGCUGGAUGACAUGAUUGCUAGGGCUCAUGAGAGGGAGAUUGAUCUAGAUAUGGAGAAGAAGUGGAAGCCAGAGGCGGUAUCUGGCAUAGGAUCUAGAGGUCAGCAGAGCCAUGGUCGGUGUGGCAAGUGUGGGAGAUUGCACAACGGGGCGUGCAAGGAAGGGAGUCCCGGUUGCUACAAGUGCAUCCGGACCGGGCAUAUGAUCAGAAAUUGUACAACUACUCCCACCGUUACCGCAGUAUCUGAUAUAAUUUGCUUCCAUUGCUAUCAGAGGGGACAUAAAAAGUCCCAGUGUCCGAGUUUGGCAGCAGCAGCAGCAGCAGGGAAGGUGGCAGCACCUGCCCCUACAACAUUGAGGAUUACAGACGGCCGUCAGACCCGAAGUGAGGCGCCAGUGGCGAAGAGUAGAGCUUUUCAGAUGACAGCAGAGGAGGCACGAGCGACUCCUGAUGUGGUGACGGGUAUGUAUCUUCCCUUCAUCUCUUUAUUAAUGUUGAUUGUUUCUUAUGGUUGUAUGUUUUUUAUAGGGUCGUUCUUAGUGAACGGCAUAUCAGCUACAAUGUUGUUUGAUUCGGGGGCUACCCGAUCAUUUGUUUCACUUGCACUUAGCAAGAGGUUUAGCAGAGCUUCGAGGGAGCUGGAUUGUCCACUUGAGGUUGAGAUAGCCGAUGACAGGACCGUCAGGGUCGCGAGUGUACAUAGGGCUUGUUCAUUGCAGUUAUUUGAUGAGCUGUUUUCAGUGGAUUUGGUUCUAAUUCCCAUGCGAGGGAAUAAGGUUAUAGUGGGUACGAAUUGGAUGAGCCCCAAUGGGGAAGUGAUUGAUUGUGAGCUACAGUUAGUGAGGUUUCGAACCCCUAGUGGGGGAGAGUUAGUGAUUCAGGGCGAGAGGCCACAACGCGGACCGAUUCUUUGCUUGGCAGUGAGAGCUCAACGCUACUUCCAGCAGGGUUGCGCGGGGUACGUUACCUAUGUGUUGGAUGCUCAGGAGAGGGGCAAGGCGACUGUUGAUGAUGUAUCGGUAGUGCAAGACUACUCGGACGUAUUCCCAGAGGAUUUUCCUGGGAUACUUCCAGAGAGAUAGGUUGAGUUUCGGAUUGACCUGGUUCCGGGUGCGGCUCUGAUAGCCAAGGCGCCAUAUCGGUUGGCUCUUCCAGAGAUGUAGGAGUUGUCUACGCAGCUGCAGGAGCUGCUAGACAAGGGUUUCAUCAGACCUAGCAGUUCACCAUGGGGAGCCCUGAUCCUGUUUGUGAAGAAGAAGGAUGGGUCGCACUGUAUGUGUAUAGAUUAUCGGGAGUUGAACAAGGUAACGGUGAAGAAUCAUCACCCACUCCCGAGGAUAUGUGAUUUGUUCAAUCAGCUUCAGGGAGCAUCUUGGUUUUCUAAGAUUGAUCUGCGCUCCGGUUAUCAUCAUAUGCGGGCCAGAGGUGAGGAUGUUCAGAAGACUUCUUUUAGGACCCAUUAUGGUCAUUAUGAGUUUGUGGUGGUGCUGUUAGGGCUCACCAAUGCUCCAGCCGCGUUCAUGGACCUCAUGAACCGCGUAUGCAGGCCGAUGUUGGAUCGGUCUGUGAUAGUGCUCAUUGACAAUAUCUUGGUUUAUUCCAAGACUCAGGAGCAACAUGAGGAGCACCUGAGGGAGGUGCUAGAGAAUUUGAGGAGGGAGAGACUUUUCGCGAAGUUCUCCAAGUGUGAGUUCUAGUUGCGCGAUGUGCAGUUCCUUGGGCACCUCGUCAACCAAAAGGGGAUAUUGGUGGAUCCGGCCAAGAUAGAGGCCAUGAUGCAAUGGGAGGUUCCGAGGUCUACAUCUGAGAUUCAGAGCUUCCUAAUGUUGGCAGGGUACUAGAGGAGAUUCAUCUAGGAUUUCUCCAAGAUAGCAAUUCCACUUACCCGACUGACUAGGAAGUCGGUGGUAUUUCGCUGGGGGCCUGAGCAGCAGGCAACAUUUGAGACCCUCAGAUAGCGAUUGUCCGAGGCACCGAUUCUCACCCUGCUAGAGGGAGUGGAUGAUUUUCUAGUCUAUUGUGAUGCUUCGAUCACAGGGAUGGGAGCAGUGUUGAUGCAGCAAGGGCAUGUGAUAGCUUAUGCCUCACGAGGCUAACUAUUCGAUGCAUGAUUUAGAACUGGGGGAAAUGAUGUUUUCCCUUAAGAUUUGGAGACAUUACCUCUUUGGGCUCCGCUGUACCAUUUACACGGAUCACAAGAGUCUGAGGUACGUCAUGGACCAGCCGAAUUUGAACAUGAGGCAGCGUCGAUGGUUAGAUGUGGUGAAGGACUACGAUUGGGAGAUCUUUUAUCAUCCAGGAAAGGCCAACGUUGUGGCCAACUCCCUGAGCCGCAAGGCGAUGGCAACACCGAUCAUAGAUAUAUGUCUAAGUAUGACAAUGAUUACUCAAUUAUUGGAGCAGGUUAGAGAGGCACAGGUCGAGGGCCUGAAGGAGGAGAGGCAGAAGUGUGAGAAGAUUGGGGGCCGAGUAGCUUCUUUCGAUUAUGACAGUCGAGGAUUGUUGACCCUUCAUGGGAGAGUCUAGGUGCUGUAUUAGGGAGGAGUACAGUAGGUGUUGAUGGAUGAGGCCCACAAGUCCCGGUUCUCCAUCAAUCUAGGGGCGACGAAGAUGUAUAGAGAUCUUCGGCUCGAUUAUUAGUGGUCGUGCAUGAAGCGGGACAUAGCCUGGUAUGUAGAGAGAUGCCUGACCUGUAGAAAGGUCAAGGCAGAACACCAGAGAGCCCACGUCAAGAUGCAGUCGUUAGACAUUCCGGUUUCAAAAUGGGAGGAUAUCACUAUAGAUUUCAUCGCUAAGCUUCCAAGGACCGCACGUGGAGUUGACUUGAUUUGGGUCAUAAUGGAUCGCCUAACCAAGAGUGCGCAUUUCAUACCGAUUUAGGAGAGCAUAUCGGCCGAGAAGCUAGCCGAUAUUUAUGUGCACGAGGUAGUGGCACGACAUGGAGUGCCUGUAUCGGUAGUAUCAGACCGAGACGUACGUUUUACUUCUAGGUUUUGGAAGCGGUUUCAUGACGAGAUGGGAACUUGUCUUGAUUUUAGCACCGCCUUCCACCCCUAGACGGACGGGAAGAGCGAGUGGACGAUUCAGACUCUUAAGAACAUGCUUCGGGAAUGCGUCCUAGAUUUUGGUGGCUGUUGGGAUACAUAUCUUCCUUUGGCAGAAUUUUCGUAUAACAACAGUUACCAUGCUAGUAUUGACCGCCCUCCUUUCGAGAUGCUCUACGGGAGGAAGUGUAGGACCCCGAUUUGUUGGGUUGAGGUUGGUCAGCGAGUCAUCGGGAGCAUCGAGGUGGUGCUCAAGACCACAGAGUUGAUCCAGCAGGUCCGUAGUAGAUUGCAGACUGCGCAGAGUCGACAUAAGAGUUAUGUCGAUAGGAGGCAUUCGUACUUGGAGUUUUAGGUGGGUGAUAUGGUCCUCUUGAAGGUGUCACCGUGGAAGGGUAUUAUCAGGUUUCAGAAGAGGGGCAAGCUGGGCCCCAUGUUCAUUAGUCCUUUUAGGGUUUUGGCCCGGGUGGGUCGGGUUACUUAACAGUUGGAUCUUUCGGCAGAGCAUAGCCAGAUCCACAACACUUUCCAUGUUUCUCAGUUGAGGAAGUGUUUGGUGGACGAGUCGGCAGUUGUACCCUUGGAGGAUAUUCAGGUUGAUAGCAGCCUGAAUUAUAUCAAGAGGCCAGUUGCGAUCUUAGAUUGGAAGGUGAAGACCUUGAGGAAAAAGGUGGUUCUAUUAGUGAAGGUGCGGUGGUAGCACCGAAAGGGUUCAGAGUGGACGUGGGAGACCGAAGGGAGAUGAGGGAGAAUUUGAUGGGUUUUGGUCAUAAGAACAUCCUAUGUGCUCAUACAAACCCAAAUGCUUGGAUCUAGGUUUCUCUAUUGUACAUGCAAGUUAUCCAAGACUAUAAACCGUAAUUCUAGCNAAGUAAUCAUUUAACAUAUGAAUGGGUUUAAGAUAUUACCUUCAUUGUUAUGUAGCCAUAACAAUCCCAAAUCCUUCUUGUAUUGACUUUAGAAAGCUUAGAGUCACAAAUGUCACUCCUCUAAUGGUUCACAAACACCAAGAGCAAGAGGAUGAAGAAGAGAAGAGAAGGUGGUUGCCCAAAACAUGUGGAAACCCUAGAGAACAAGUUCACCACGUUUUUGGGGCAUAAGGGUUCUAUAUAUAGUGAGGCCAUUAGGGUUAUCUAACAAGGAAACCCUAAUUUGGAUGCUUAAGCCCUAAGCAACCCAUGGACUCCUUUCCUUAAAGGCCUUGGAAGAUUUCUAAUGGGUUUCCCCAUAGAAUUCGUCCAUCCUUAUAAUAUAAGGCAGUCCAUGGCCCAAUUGCAAUUAUCUCAUAAUUACAAUUCUAGUCCCUUCAGUUUAAUUAAUCUCUUUUAGUCAGAAACUUAAUUCUUCUUAAUUCUUUACUAAUAUUAAUUAAACAAUAUGAUUUCUCCUUUAAUAUAUUAUUCCCAUAAUAUAUUAAUAAAUCAUAUUUAAUCCUUUCUCUCCAUUAUUCAUCCUAUCAAGUUGCUUUGGUGAAGGCGACCCAAAAGGACCAUGCACCAUCGGGUCAAGUACACACCAAAAUAGUUAUGGACUUAGACACUAAUCCAACAGUCUCCCACUUGGAUAAGUCUAAUAACUAUUCUGCGUAUGACUUCAGAUCCUGAUCUGCAAACGUAGCUUCGCAAAGCCGCUGUCAACUCUGAUCCUAUCAGAUACGCGUGCCCUUUAGAUAAGGGAUCAUAUAUUCCUCUAUUCUAGAUAUCGUAUCAGACAUGAUUUCUAAUCAUUCCCUAUGUACUAUUUCUCGACUUCCGAUUUAUGACGACUGACUAAUUGAACAGAUCAAAUUAGCCCUAGCCCGAACGAGCAUUUACGUUUGUCAUCACUCAAUCAUCGAUGGGCCCAAAGAUAUUGCUUUUGUCCUACUUUGGAUAAAAGGAACGGAUAAACUUUGAUUCAAUGCUCGCUUGCACUCACUCACCGAAUCACACACAACAAUAUGUUUUAUGACACAAAGUUACUGGUGCGUUUACAUAUUAUCAAUGUGCAACCGAUUUGCAAGAUACAACUCACACAUCUCGGUUUCAAGAAUAUAAGAUGUUAUCGUCUCACCAAUCACUCGUGAUAACAAUCCAUGAAGUGAUCCAAGUGAGCGUGGGUUUAAUCCAAUGCUCAAAUCAUAUUCAUAAGCACUCAUGAACGUUGCAGCAAACAUUUGCUUAUGUCUAAUGCUCUUUAGACAAUCCACACACCAAUUCACGAUAGUCUUUAUUCAUACCUACUUCCAACAUAUGAACGACUGUGGCCCGUUCGAAUAAUUUGACUGUUCUAAACCAAUUAAAUUAUUCAGGAAGUCAAAACAUGCAAAGUGAAACACAAGGAUAAUACUAAUCCCAUAUGGCCUCAAACCUUUGAGCAUAAAUAAAACACCUUUUAUUUAUCACCAUAUCGAUUACUCAUUAUUUGUUGUUUCGGGUAAUCAACUUCUUACUUGAAUUAUUACACUUGUCCCAUGCUCUUAGCAUGCACACAAUGUUUACCUACGGUUCUUACUUUGUGAAAUAGAUCAAAUGAACACAUUUCCAAUCAUACUCAUUUCACAACUCCUAAUCCAUUUUCAUAAGUGAAAGAAUAUCAAAUUCUUGCCACUUAUAGAAUAUGUUAGAUUCUAACAUUUUAUGCAAUGAUCCUUUUGUAAUGUCAUAGCACAAAAGUCACAAUGACUAUUGCCAAUGAUAUUACAAAGUCCUCUAUCGGAGAUUGUUACAAGACAAUUCCUUAGAUAUGAUGUCUCUCACUCAAAGUACAUUCCUUUGAACAUCCUUUUGCAUAAAAGUUUCUAAUCUAGACAUAGAUUUUCAAUAUUCAAUUCCCAAUAUGGACACGUUUCCAUAUUUUCCAUAUGACAACUCAUUCUUAAUAGAAUCUUAUCUAUUCAUAAUAAUGUCGAUAUGGUCCAUCCAAUACUAUACUUCCAACUACUCACAAGCGACCAAUCCUCGGCGAACUUUGGAUUGUCCUUUGAUAGUUGUUUAAUUAUCUUAGUCAAAACCGAUUCUUGUCCUUUUUCCCUCUAAAUGCGCUAGACAUUUGGAAAAUUUUAGAAUGGUCAAAUAUUAUAGCAUUUGCAAUCGAUCCUAUACCCGAAGCGUAUGGGACACGAUGCAUAAUGUCUUACAUAAAGAUUUGAUACUUUAUCAAUCUUCUGCCAUAAUAUUUUAUGUGCUACGUUCUCAAAAUUCGAACUAUGAAGAGGAAUGCCGUAAUCAUAAUCGAAAUUUGAGAACACACUAUGUUUCCUUGACUAAAUUAUUAACAUUCCACAACCUAAGCCUUUAGAUUUGAAAUGAAGCAUAAUAUUCUCUCCCUUAAUUAUAGCAAAACAACUAUUCAACCCUUACAACUUUGCAAAGUAUGACUCUUGUUUUCUAUAAUUAAUAUUGCUAACUUGCAAUACUUGCCUUAAUAAUCAUACAAUCAUAACAUUUAUGCUCCCACUAUCAAGAUGAUUAUUAUAAACAUAACACUUAUGCUCCCACUAGCUUUGACAUGUAUUCAGAAAGCAGCUUAACUUCAAUAAAAAAACAAUACCUAUUGAAUUUCUUAAGUUCAUGUUUCUAAUACCUAAUGCUUUGAUAAUCCUUUAUCUAAGCUUAUACACCUUUCCUUUAGAUAGCUCAUAUGUGUGUCUAAACAAUUCAGACUAAUUGCCAAAUCUCACAAUUCGAAUCAUGGAAAGGGAUACCGUAACCAUAAUCGAAUUCGAGAAUUCAAUUUCACAAUCACUAUCUUCUUAAAAUCUCUCUUAGUGAAAGCAUUUCCUCACAGUCAUUUUCAUGAAGGAGGGAAUCUUAUGACACUUAGAUUUUAAUGGUGUAUGUGUUCCUAUCCAUGUGAAUUUGUCAAAACCAAAGUUUACGACAAAUUCAAACUCAUAUGGACCGAACUUUCUUAAUCUUGACUUCUUGCCUUAUGGUAACACAGCUGCCCACCAUGUCUUCCAAGUAGUUAAGCAGCUCACCCUUUCCUAUCAAUGUACUUUUCAUUGAUCAAGGUCCUUGCCUUUUAUGCAUUCAAAUGAGAACUCAUAGGGCUCACAUGCAUAAUUAACUCAAUUGGAAUGGCACAGAAACAAAAUAGUGUCAACACGAUAGGUUGUAAACCUCAACUCGUGUGCUAGUGAUGAUCGAUAAGGUUUAUUUUGAUUUGUUCUUGAAACCUUUCAAGACCAUUAAGACUCCCACUGACUCCUUGACAUAUAAGAUUCUCUUGUCAAUAAACAUUUCUUGACAAACAAAUAUUCAAGAGUUAGUGUAGUUUUUAUCAAAACACUUCAUAAAUUGGUCCUAGUUGGUCUUUGUCUUAUCCAAGACAUCACAACUUUCCACAUUUGAUGAAUGUUAUAAACCUUCUUAAUACUUAUCACUCAAUUUCACAAUCUUAACUCUAAGACUUGUUUUGGAACGAAGUAUGAUUGACUUCUUGAUUUAACCAUUUCUUCAAUUCUUGAUUCCUCUUCUUAGACAUACAAUUGUACUAAGACUCACUUAGAGGAUCAAUUGAGAUAUGGUUCUUAAUCAUUAAGACCUAUCAUAAAGCAUAAAAGGUACUCUCCCUUCUUCUUAGAAUGGAGAAACUUUUAUCUUUCUGCCUACUUGAUUCUUCUUAUUCGUUCUGCUAUUGAUCUAAACCCUUUAAUCAAUUCAGAAUUACACUUAAUCUUGUAAGUAUAAUCAUAUUUACAAAACCUUUAGCAAAUCAUGACGAAUAUCUUUGUUAUUUUUGUGGUGGAAUCAACACACAACUUUUUGUACUCGAUCUCUUAUUCCUUCACUUGACACUAUGUCAAUAUAUUUAGUCUAAUUUCCAAAUAUGAAAUUUCUCAUUCAUCGUGCAACCAAGUUGUAUGAUUCCAAAUUUCUGUCCACCUGAAACUUGGGCGAUGAGAAACUCUCCCUAUUUGGUAAAUUUUCGACAUUUCCACAAAUAACAUAUCUAAGAAUCAAAUCCAUUAUUGCUAAUAAUAGAAACAUUCUAACAUCAAUUUUUCAUAUACCCCAUUGCAAGGAUAAAUAAAUAAUAUAAAAUCAAAAUUUAUUUUAUUGCGGAAAAAUUUGUCCUUACAAUGCAAUUCAUUGAAAAACUAUGCUAAUACAUCUUUCUUAGCAAUCUAAUUCUAACUCUAAGUAGCAGCUCAAGAAUCUAAUCUUCAAGAAAUGCGAUCGAAAUCCAUUCCUUCACGGUUAGAUUCUGCUCACUUCUUCCCUUAAGCUUCCUUUCUUUUCUUCGAUCCUACAAAACAUCAAUUGUAAUCUUAUCACAUUAUGUAUUAAGAAUCUAGAAUAGAAGCUUAAAAGAGUUAGUCAAUGGAUUUUACCUAGAGCCAUACGUUUUGACUCUCCCAUCUCUUAGAUCUCUUAGGUAAAUAGGGCAGCUUCGUCUCCAAUGCCCCUUCUCUUGGCAAUAAAAGCAAAUUGAUUCUUUUGGAACAGCACAUGGAACUACUUCAGAUAUUUCCUUUCUCUUAUGAUCAAACUCUUCAAUCAUGGCAUGUCUUUCGUUGUCUUUCCUAUAUCCAUAGAGGUCUGGAAGGCAGAUUCACCAAUAAACUUUGCUUUUCCAGUGCGCCAAAUCAUUGUUGAUUCAGCAUCAAUAAGCAUAUAGGUGAGAUCAAUGAGGGUUACGUCGUGGUUCAUCAUAUAAUACUCUCUUACGAACUCACUAUAUGAGUCAGGAAGUGACUGAAGAACCCAGUCAACAGCCAUCUCCUCACAGACAACAGAUCCCAACAUUCUUAACCUAUCAAUGUGUGACUUCAUCCCUAGGACGUGUGCACACACCGACUUUCCUUCUUUAUGUUUACUUGCCAAAAGGGCUUGAGUGAGCUUGAACUUUUCAAGCCUUUGAACUUGUGGGUUAGGGAGAAUAAUUGGAGGAGGAGGAGGAAGUGAAGCAUGAUUUCUUGUUCCUCGAUCGA
rnacentral:lncRNA from 1 species